GUUGCACUUGCUGUCUUUCAUUUAUGGUUUCGGGGAAAUGAAGCUCUCACAGAGAGCGGAAGAAACGGAGAGACAGAGAGACAGACAGAGAGAGAUUUCGAGGGGAAGACAGCGCAGGGGAGAGGUAUGGCUGAUGGAUUUCAGAAGUGGGAAAGUGGGUAAUAUCUUCUCGGUUUUGACUGAGUUCGAGGGUUGUUGUGUGCUGUCCUUCGAUGAGGGUUUCGGGGGGAUGGAGACUGUGACAGAGAGCGGAAGAAAGAGAGAGAGAGAGAGAGAGAGAUGACGAUGGAAAGACAGCGAAGGGGAAAGGUAUGAGUCGUCGAUUUCAGAAGUGGGGAUACGGAUUAUCCGGAUCUACCGCUGCAUGCCUGGAUUUCGAAAGAUAAGUGCUUUUUAAAUUUUUUUUUUUUUUCUAUCAGCUUAGAAAGAUAAGUGAUUUCGAAAGAUAAGUGGAUUAUUUUCGAAUUUUUUAGUGUGUUAGGUCAGAUUUUGGGGGAAUCAUCAGAGAUAUUAAUUUCCCUUAUUAGUUUGCUCUUCUCUCAUUUUGCACAUUCAUCUCUCUGUCUGCCUGUUUGUUCUCUGUCUUAAGGUCGGUUUUUUUUUUUUUUUUUUUUUUUUGGGGUUUUUUGUAUGGCUUUUUUUUUUUUCUUUUUGUUUUCCAGGUUAUAGAUCUAAUGCUCUUUUGUAUACCAAUCUUGGUUUUGUUUUUCUUGGAAAAUUGUUUUUAUCUGAUUGUGGAUUCGUGGGUUUUAAUUUCUAUGGUUUGUUGCAGGUUGCAAAGCAAGAGGUUCUCACCUCAAGAUUCAGUUUAUGACCAUCAUGAAGAUCACCACACCCAUGAUCAUGUUCAUGAUCCUGGUGUUUCUUCUGUCAGCAUAGUUUGUGAAGGGAACUUAGAACUUGAAAAGGCUAACAUAUGGCUUGGUACACUGUUGUUGAAACGAAGUGAGGACAUAUAUCGUAUGAAAGGUCUUCUAUCAGUUCAAGGAAUGAAAAAGAGAUUUGUCUUCCAGGGUUUAGGUGCUCUGAAAAUGCCCACCCUUAUUUUUUUUACACCAAGUGUAUAUGGCAACCCAGGCAUUCCAACUUGCUCAGGGAAAUACUUCAUUUAAGGAAAAGCCUGAAAUAAUGUUGUCAAGUGCUAUACUGAAGCUAUCAGAUUGAACAUGAUGUGUGCAACUUAGAUUGCAACCAUGCAAUUGCUUACUUGGAGUUUCUAAUUCACAAACUGAGUGAAGGUCACAAUAAGUAUUAGUCACUACGAGAGUGUUGGACUAUCCUCAUUCUGGAACCAGGUUUAAGAGGCCCCUGACAAUGACAUUGAAACGGAUUUAUUCUCUACGAUUCUCUGGUUAGGGUAAGCAUUUUGGUGAGCUUUGAUUUUGUGAGGCUCUGGAAACAAUAUAGUUCUUGAGCUAAUGUGAAGAUUUUGGGUUGAACAUUGUGCUAUGAAGAUAUUGGGUUUAAUAUUUGAUUCCGUUUUUCAUUUUGCACUUACAAAAACAGAGGAUUGUGGUUAAUUAUUGUGAUGUGAAGCUUCUAUUUGAUAUCGACUUAAUGAGUAGCGAUGUAAAUUAAACUACGUAUUUUAUGGAUCAAUUCACAUAUCUCUUGCUUUUUCUUUCA